rnacentral:rRNA from 1 species
UACAGAGGUCUCAAGCGUUGUUCGGAUUCAUUGGGCGUAAAGGGGUGCGUAGGUGGCGAGGUAAGUUGGAUGUGAAAUCCCAGGGCUCAACCCUGGAACUGCAUUCAAUACUGCCUUGCUAGAGUACUGGAGAGGAGAUUGGAAUUUACGGUGUAGCAGUGAAAUGCGUAGAUAUCGUAAGGAAGACCAGUGGCGAAGGCGGAUCUCUGGACAGUUACUGACACUGAGGCACGAAGGCCAGGGGAGCAAACGGG